UCGCCUCCAAUGUUGAAGUGGACCGUUGGUCAAAAGCAGCAGAAUUUGACGUCAUCGAGUUUUGGUUCCUCCACGAUCCAAUCAGUGAGCUCUGGUCCCUGUUACCCAAUAUGUCGCACCAAUGUCAAAAUUCACGGCACUUCAAAAUCUCGGGCUCGCCGUGUUUCCAUCCGCCAGCUGAACAAAGAAAACAGGCAGUGCCACAAAUCUAUCGAGCAGAAAGUGAUUUGCACCGAGGCUUCGAUGGGAGCGGGGUCCCCGCGCUUACGUGAUAGCAUGAACAUGAGGCUGGAGAGUCUGCCGGUCGCCCUGCGCGACGUGAGCAACCACUUCUCGCCGCGCCUCGACCAUGCCAGUCUGUCCGAUUCCAUCGACCGCGUCCAGAGAAGACGAAGCUGCAGCAAACGGCAGAAGAAGAGCCCUUGCUCCGUCCCUCACACGAGCGACUCCAGAGGAGGAAGUCUGAGCCUCCGUAUUUCAUACACGAGGACGAGGACGAGAAUGGGACAAAAGACCGCGGGAAGAACGAGACAAAGUCUGUGUCAGUAAUGAGCCCAAGCAACUCUCCGAAAAAGAAACAGCCGUGCUUGGACGUGCACCAUUGCAUCAAGUUAGAAGCAUCCGCGACCACGGCCGCAUGCAGCACCUCCGCGGUGGGACAGCCGCAAAUUGCCAAGAAGCGCAUCGUCGGAUCAAAGUCGCCCGAUUCAAACUCCGCCCUGGUAACACCCCCACUUCCACCCACAAUGUGCCCUCCAGACCGCCUGCCGAGUCUAUCCCCGAUUCUGACGGCCUCCACGCCGGCGCGCUACGACAAUCCCGUCCACUUCGCCCUGGAACACUCCCCGCCUGCCGAGCCGGACCUCCUUCUCCACAAAGAGUUACCAAUAGCCCGCACCUGUAACCGAUCCAAAAUCCCGCGCCAGCUCUUUCAAGACCUGCAGGAAGUUCAAUUGGAGGCUCAGUCGGCCGUUAAGGAUACCCUCAACACCUCGAGCGACCUCCUCGAGAGGACAUUUCGAAAAAGCCAGAAAAACGUGGAAAACAAGGGAAUGCCUUGCGACGUCUCCCCGUUGGCUAGAAAGCUCGCCUGGCUUCGGCUUAAUACACAGCUGACCAAGAACCGCGUGCCGGCGCAGGAGCCGGCACCCGCACCACCGACCGCCAUCGACUCGAUGGAGCCUGAGGAGGACGCCACCGCAGUGACAGCGCGUCAUUUACCCGACGUCAUCCUUCGAAACCGCCAGUGCCUCAACCCAUUCAGUAGCAACUUAUGUGACGUAGGCGAACAAUUAGAUAAUCUAGAAGAUGUUAAUAACCCCAACUUGACUAACAAUAAUCGGGUUUCCAAGCGACGAGGGGCUUGCUUCAACGACUUGAGCUUCCUGCUAAACACACCGCUUUUCGGGAAGGAGGACAUUCCUCCGACUCUGAAACGACAACGUGUCAUCAUCCGCAGGCGGCGAAGAAAUACCAACUCCGGAUGUAAGGAGGACAUGGAGAGUUUGACAAAGAUUCCCCGGAGAAGAGGUCUUAGUUCCUCUGUCUUGACCCUUCCGAAUGGUAUUCCUAGCCCGUUCACACAGUUCAACGUCAGCCUGACGGCAGGGGGCAACGGUAGUACACUCGGAUUCAAUUGCACACCAGCCAAGAGACCCGAUUGUAUCCUCCUAGAUGACCUCGUUCCAAUCCCCGGUGAUGUUGGUGUCAAUAAUAACAACAAAAAGCGCAGUAAUAAUAAUGUCGUCACUGAAAUUGCGUCCAUUGAAGGGAUAGAACCGUUGAGUAAUACGCACACUGCAACGCUUUCUCUACCCUGCUCAUCGAUCGACCCUAUCACAGUGGCCACCGACGUGUCGAUUAUGGAUGAGACCAUUGCGCUGACCAGGAAGAUGAAUCAGUGGAAGAGGAAGCUCAACAGGAAGAAGUUAAACUUUGAGGAUACGGAUGGGGAUCUUGAUGUUUCCUCUGGGUCGUCCUGCUCGGAGAGUACCUGGGAUUCCCAUGCGAUGCGGCUUAAGACCCCUCGCUUGGCUUCGCAUUUUUCCCCGAAUUCUUCUUUUGAGCAAGGUUCCUCAAUAGCCUCCUCAAAAACCGACGGAACGGAUACCAAAAUGUCCAGUGAUGCCGAAUUAGAAUUAUCUCUUAGCCUUCAGAGUAACAUCGUCUUCGCUUACAUUAAAAGAGGGAAAAUCUAACGAAAGCUAUUGGAUGUACUCCUCUGAAUGCAUAUGUAAAGGUCAAUUUGGUGCCUGCAGCCUCUGAGAAAACCUAUUACAGAACAUGUGUGCGGAAAAACUCUAUGAAUCCUAGAUUCGAUCAAAAAUUUAGUAUGGAAAUAACUGAAGCGGAUCGUAGUAAAAGAAUCCUAUUCUCUGUUUGGCAUCGAGAUCGGGGAAAAGG
rnacentral:lncRNA from 1 species